GAUUAACGCUGGCGGCGUGCAUAACACAUGCAAGUCGAACGAUGAAACUUUAAUGAACCCUUCGGGGAGAAUUAAAGCGGAUUAGUGGCGAACGGGUGAGUAACGCGUGAGUAACCUGCCUUACACAAGGGGAUAGCCUCUGGAAACGAAGAAUAAUACCCUAUAAAACCAUAAAAGCACAUGCAAUUAUGGUCAAAGUGAUAGCGGUGUAAGAUGGACUUGCGUCUGAUUAGCUAGUUGGUGAGAUAAAAGCCCACCAAGGCAACGAUCAGUAGCCGGCUUGAGAGAGUGUACGGCCACAUUGGGACUGAGACACGGCCCAGACUCCUACGGGAGGCAGCAGUGGGGAAUUUUGCACAAUGGGGGAAACCCUGAUGCAGCGACGCCGCGUGAUUUAGAAGGCCUUCGGGUUGUAAAAAUCUUUUGUAUAGGAAGAAAAUGACAGUACUAUACGAAUAAGGUCCGGCUAAUUACGU
rnacentral:rRNA from 1 species